CGGUUGGCAAACACUGAUUAAAUUCUGUCAUCUACAAGGGAGGCAGGCAGGUCCUCCAGGCUGGGUUGGAACCGUCAAAGCAAAAGGACCGAGCCUCCAGGAAGGGCUCUCCAGGGCUGGCCCCCAGCGGAGGGGCCUUCCUGUCCCUCCCGCGGCUAGUCAGUUAGGCCGUCUGCUCUGGCCCGCUGUCCCGCUCAUUACCUUAGACCCAGAACCCCUGCCCCAAGUCAGGCCCUCAAGCCCAGUGAGAGUCCCCGGCAGGGGACUAUACCCUCCUGGUGAGGCCUGCAGGAGCUGGAGGGCUGUCCUGGGUCUCAGGUUGAUGACUGCCACUCCCCUCCCAGGCCCCCCACACCCCUAGUCUGUAAAGAUCCCGAAAGGGCAGGGGAUGCUGAGGCCUGACUGAAUCCCAGUCCUUCCCCAUCUCUUCUGAGAACACAGGGUUGGGUGGCUUUAUCAAGCAGCUGAAACCAAGUACUUUCUUUAAAAAAAAAAAAAAAGUGGUCACUCCCUCCCUCAUGCUUUGGAUAUUUUGAACUAUUUUCAACUAAGUGAGUUUGUGGACAUGGAACUGCAAAACCACAGACACUUCGGAUGCGCACACACCCUCCUCUGCCUGGGGCCCGGGUUUCAGCCAGGGAGUCACCGCUGCCAUCGCGGGCACCCCGACAGCCUUCCCAGCGGCCCCGGCACGUCCUGCUGCAAAGCCAGCACCGGGCCUGCUGAACAGCCAAGCUCUCUGGGCCACCUGUCCACCCAGUACUGGGCAGCUCGGUGGUCCACUGCCCCUGCGAAGAGGCCUAACUACACAGGCCCCUGAGAAGCUGAACAGAUGUGUGCUUAUCUCCUCGGAGAGCCCAGCCAGGGUGCAAGCCUCACCAAAGGCUCCCCUGUGGGAACCCAAAGGACAAUGGCAGGAGGGAGCCAACUUCCACGGCCAGAAAGUGCCCAUCCGGUCCACAUCCCUGCCUUCGGCUUAACCACCGGGCCACCGCUGCCCCUGGGCCUUGACACCUCCAGAGGCGAUGGCAAACAGCUGAGCAACACCCUUCACAUAAUAAUCACCUUCUCCUAACCUGAAAACAAUCUGGUGCGCUUCGGCCUUCGCUUUCCCCGCGGAAAUCCUGCACCCAGUUCUGUCUCGGCCCAGCCUU